rnacentral:rRNA from 1 species
AGUGAACGCUGGCGGUAGGCCUAACACAUGCAAGUCGAACGGCAGCACAGUAAGAGCUUGCUCUUACGGGUGGCGAGUGGCGGACGGGUGAGGAAUACAUCGGAAUCUACUUUUUCGUGGGGGAUCACGUAGGGAAACUUACGCUAAUACCGCAUACGACCUACGGGUGAAAGCAGGGGAUCUUCGGACCUUGCGCGAUUGAAUGAGCCGAUGUCGGAUUAGCUAGUUGGCGGGGUAAAGGCCCACCCAGGCGACGAUCCGUAGCUGGUCUGAGAGGAUGAUAAGCCACACUGGAACUGAGACACGGUCAAGACGACUAAGGGAGGCAGCAGUGGGGAAUAUUGGACAAUGGGCGCAAGCCUGAUCCAGCCAUACCGCGUGGGUGAAGAAGGCCUUCGGGUUGUAAAGACCUUUUGUUGGGAAAGAAAAGCAGCAGGUUAAUACCCCGCUGUUCUGACGGUACCCAAAGAAUAAGCACCGGCUAACUUCGUG